rnacentral:tRNA from 1 species
GCCUCGGUGGUCUAGCGGUUAGAACGCUGGCCUUGUAAUCCUGGGGUCCCGGGUUCGAUUCCCGGCGGUGCCC